rnacentral:rRNA from 1 species
GCUUAGAGUUUGAUCCUGGCUCAGGACGAACGCUGGCGGCAGGCCUAACACAUGCAAGUCGAGCGGACCCUUCGGGGUUAGCGGCAGACGGGUGAGUAACGCGUGGGAACCUACCCAGGGGUACGGAAUAACUCGGGGAAACUCGGGCUAAUACCGUAUACGUCCUAUGGGAGAAAGAUUUAUCGCCCUUGGAUGGGCCCGCGUUGGAUUAGCUUGUUGGUGAGGUAACGGCUCACCAAGGCGACGAUCCAUAGCUGUUCUGAGAGGAAGAUCAGCCACACUGGGACUGAGACACGGCCCAGACUCCUACGGGAGGCAGCAGUGGGGAAUCUUGGACAAUGGGCGCAAGCCUGAUCCAGCCAUGCCGCGUGAGUGAUGAAGGCCUUAGGGUUGUAAAGCUCUUUCACCGGUGACGAUAAUGACGGUAACCGGAGAAGAAGCCCCGGCUAACUUCGUGCCAGCAGCCGCGGUAAUACGAAGGGGGCUAGCGUUGUUCGGAAUUACUGGGCGUAAAGCGCGCGUAGGCGGAUGGGUUAGUCAGGGGUGAAAGCCCGGAG